CCGGGGCUGAUUAUUGCAAGGUCAGUUACCAUGGCGCCCCUUGUUCUUCUACUCUAUGUCCAUAUAUUCCCCCACUCCUACCUCACGUCACGACCUCGCCGCUGCGGAGGACCACUACCAUGACCAUUCGCUGGAUUCAUCAGCUCCCCACCUCCCUCUCUUGGUCGUCCAGAAAAAAACCAAGAGCGCUCGGCACGGGCGACUAUGGGCAAUGUCCACUUUUGAGUUUUUUGUCAGUUAGUAGAAGAUGGCAUCCCCCUGUAGUGGCGUAAAACAGCGGUAGCAGCUGCAAAUCUUCUUUGUCCAAUUUGGACUCCUACUGAUGAUGCUCUCGUGUUUUGUGCAGCUGCCCUCAACCGUAGGAUUUGAGAUUGGUUGUCAAUUUCUCAUGGGUUGAUUUCAUCUAAGUUGCCGCUUUUCCUUACUACAGAUUAUUUGCUGCCUUCUACAUCCGCUCUCCCACCGAAUUACUAAUGGUGUUAGACAUUUUUCUUACUGCUAUUUUUUUGUGCUACCAAAUUGAUGCAGGUGCCAUGAAAAAGGAUUGUCGCUGAUGUUAGUGGUAGGUUGUGUUGGGGAAUUCCUAAUUCCUAGCUUAUCAUUUGCAAUGGCUAUCAGCCAUAUUGUACGUGAAUUCUCGUAUGUCAUCUUAUUAUCUUAAUAUCCAUGUAUAUGUGCCUAUGUUGUAAAUUUCAUGUCCAUCCAUUUUAGCGACAUAAGUGGGUCUUUGUUUAUUCAGGUUCGUACAUUGCAGAACCAACAACAAGUGUUGUACAACAUAAGAAAGUAUUCUCAAUAAAAUAGCACUGCCUAUACAGGUUGAGUGAGCUUUUGG
rnacentral:lncRNA from 1 species